AGUGAACGCUGGCGGUAGGCCUAACACAUGCCAGUCGAACGGCAGCACAGUAAGAGCUUGCUCUUACGGGUGGCGAGUGGCGGACGGGUGAGGAAUACAUCGGAAUCUACUUUUUCGUGGGGGAUAACGUAGGGAAACUUACGCUAAUACCGCAUACGACCUACGGGUGAAAGCAGGGGAUCUUCGGACCUUGCGCGAUUGAAUGAGCCGAUGUCGGAUUAGCUAGUUGGCGGGGUAAAGGCCCACCAAGGCGACGAUCCGUAGCUGGUCUGAGAGGAUGAUCCGCCACACUGGAACUGAGACACGGUCCAGACUCCUACGGGAGGCAGCAGUGGGGAAUAUUGGACAAUGGGCGCAAGCCUGAUCCAGCCAUACCGCGUGGGUGAAGAAGGCCUUCGGGUUGUAAAGCCCUUUUGUUGGGAAAGAAAAGCAGCAGGUUAAUACCCCGCUGUUCUGACGGUACCCAAAGAAUAAGCACCGGCUAACUUCGUG
rnacentral:rRNA from 1 species